CUCCUGGAAAACGGGUGGUAAUGCCGGAUGCUCCAGUUGAUCGCAUGGUCUUCUGGGAAAGCUUUCGCGGUAUGGGAUGGGGUCGCGUCCUAUCAGCUUGACGGCGGGGUAACGGCCCACCGUGGCUUCGACGGGUAGCCGGCCUGAGAGGGCGACCGGCCACAUUGGGACUGAGAUACGGCCCAGACUCCUACGGGAGGCAGCAGUGGGGAAUAUUGCACAAUGGGCGCAAGCCUGAUGCAGCGACGCCGCGUGAGGGAUGGAGGCCUUCGGGUUGUAAACCUCUUUUAUCGGGGAGCAAGCGAGAGUGAGUUUACCCGUUGAAUAAGCACCGGCUAACUACGUGCCAGCAGCCGCGGUAAUACGUAGGGUGCAAGCGUUAUCCGGAAUUAUUGGGCGUAAAGGGCUCGUAGGCGGUUCGUCGCGUCCGGUGUGAAAGUCCAUCGCUUAACGGUGGAUCCGCGCCGGGUACGGGCGGGCUUGAGUGCGGUAGGGGAGACUGGAAUUCCCGGUGUAACGGUGGAAUGUGUAGAUAUCGGAAAAGAACACCACCCC
rnacentral:rRNA from 1 species